rnacentral:lncRNA from 1 species
CUGCUGCUGCAGCAGGUACCGCGGAAGCAACAGUUUCGUGUUGAAUGGUGCGUGGACCCAUGACCGCAUCUACAGCCCUGUGUGCCACAGCACUUCCAGUACCAAAGGCCAUCCCUGUAAGACAUAAUGAUAAAACAGACAAGGGACAUACAUGAGCAUUUUUUUUGGAGAAUUGUAACAGAAAUUAAUCAACCUAUCAUUUGACUGGAUCCAAAGCCGAGUGUGCAAGGAGCGAGAGGGUUCCCUUCUUUUCAAAUCUUUUUUCUUUCCUUUAUGAGCAACUUCGAAAACGUAAAACAGACAAGAGACAUUUAUGAGCAAUUUAUUUGGAGAAUGGUAACUGAAUUUAAUCAGCCAAUCAUUUGACUGGAUCCAAAGCCAAGCGAGCGACGCGAGGCUUCCCUUCUCUUCACAUCUUUUUUCUGUCAU